GCCCGGCGGAUCGGCCAGGACAACAAGCUUGCAGGUCAGACGCGGGCACGCCCUCCCGCUCUUGUAAAGCGGGGGUCGUCGGUUCGAACCCGACAGGGGGCUCCA
rnacentral:tRNA from 1 species